GCAUUAAUGGGGUAGUGGCAACCUGGGUCGUUGCCACCGGCGGGGGUUCGAUUCCCUCUUAAUGCA
rfam:Hebeloma cylindrosporum h7 unplaced genomic scaffold scaffold_23, whole genome shotgun sequence.